AGAGUUUGAUCCUGGCUCAGAAUCAACGCUGGCGGCGCGCUUAACACAUGCAAGUCGAACGAGAAAGUGGAGCAAUCCAUGAGUAAAGUGGCGUACGGGUGAGUAACACGUGGAUCAUCUACCUCUUAGUGGGGAAUACCCCCGGGAAACUGGGGACAAUACCGCAUAAGCCUGAGAAGGGAAAGUCGAAAGACGCUGAGAGAGGAGUCCGCGGCCGAUUAGCUAGUUGGUAGGGUAAUGGCCUACCAAGGCUUUGAUCGGUAGCCGGCCUGAGAGGGCACACGGCCACACUGGCACUGAAACACGGGCCAGACUCCUACGGGAGGCAGCAGUGGGGAAUCUUGCACAAUGGGGGCAACCCUGAUGCAGCGACGCCGCGUGAGCGAUGAAGCCCUUCGGGGUGUAAA
rnacentral:rRNA from 1 species